rnacentral:tRNA from 1 species
GCGGAUGUAGCUCAGUUGGUAGAGCGUCGGACUGAAAAUCCGAAGGUCACAGGUUCGAAUCCUGUUGUUCGCA